CGGUUUUCAGAGAUGAAUUCCUUCAGUUCGGCUGGACCGGUGACAGGUGCUGCAUGGCUGUCGUCAGCUCGUGUCGUGAGAUGUUGGGUUAAGUCCCGCAACGAGCGCAACCCUCGCCAUUAGUUGCCAGCAUUUAGUUGGGCACUCUAAUGGGACUGCCGGUGAUAAGCCGGAGGAAGGUGGGGAUGACGUCAAGUCCUCAUGGCCCUUAUGGGCUGGGCUACACACGUGCUACAAUGGUAGUGACAAUGGGUUAAUCCCAAAAAGCUAUCUCAGUUCGGAUUGUCGUCUGCAACUCGACGGCAUGAAGUCGGAAUCGCUAGUAAUCGCGUAACAGCAUGACGCGGUGAAUACGUUCCCGGGCCUUGUACACACCGCCCGUCACACCAUGGGAGUUGGUUCUACCCGACGGCCGUGCGCUAACCUUUUGGAGGCAGCGGACCACGGUAGGAUCAGCGACUGGGGUGAAGUCGUAACAGGUAGCC
rnacentral:rRNA from 1 species